rnacentral:rRNA from 1 species
UACGAAGGGGGCUAGCGUUGCUCGGAAUCACUGGGCGUAAAGCGCACGUAGGCGGAUCGUUAAGUCAGGGGUGAAAUCCUGGAGCUCAACUCCAGAACUGCCUUUGAUACUGGCGAUCUUGAGUUCGGGAGAGGUGAGUGGAACUGCGAGUGUAGAGGUGAAAUUCGUAGAUAUUCGGAAGAACACCAGUGGCGAAGGCGACUUACUGGACACAUAUUGACGCUGAGGUGCGAAAGCGUGGGGAGCAAACAGG